rnacentral:rRNA from 1 species
AUGAAUGUCUACGCCAUAAAAGACGUCAUGCUACUGAAGCUGAAGCGUCUACUAGCUGGUUCCACCAACACUGGUACUGGCGGUGAUGCUAGCAUACUUUCCACUGUCCAGAUGCCUCACAAAGUUGGAAAAAUGACCGACCUGGAAGUGAUGUCCCAUGUACAGGCUUCAAAACAUCAUGCUACAGAGCUGAGAGAGAUUGGCCAGCUAUGGCAGCUGAGGGUAAUUGGUGUGGCCAUUUAUAAUACGAAAGCUCAACUUGAGAACUUACUCCAAGGGAUCAGCGAUCUGAAUGAGUGCCUUAGGUCUCUGGCCAUCGAGAUCAAGCCUCUGUCUGACAACCAGGCUGCUACUCCUUCUGAUGUACCUGCAGCUGAUGCUAUCAGUGUACACUGUAAGAACACACCCAGGCUUCUUGAAAGGCUGAGCAUCAGUGGAGACACAAUCUAUGGGCGUCUUUACCCAUUAUUUACCAGAGGCUGCCGCAUACUUGCCGAGAUAACUCUUCAUAACACCUUGCUGGACCAGGAUGAUAUGGACUCACUAGCAGGUUUGCCCAACCUACGCAGCCUCAGGCUACAGCAUGUUAAUUUACACACCAGUGGCAAGCUUAUAAUCCAGACCAAUGGGUUCCAAACCCUCAAGUGUCUUGCUGUUGAGAGGGGCGGAGUCACCGACAUCAACUUCGAACCUGGGGAAGCUCCUAAGCUUGAAAAGAUCGUUUGGCUCGUUGACAGGAUAGAGUCUCUCUCGGGAAUCAACUACCUUCCCAAGUUGAAGGAAAUGGUGUUCAGUGAUGGUGUCAGGGUACCAGAUCAAGUCAAACAAGCCAAAGAAGCACAUCCAAACUUCAUUGAUAUUAAUGAAAUAUAG